rnacentral:rRNA from 1 species
GAUCCUGGCUCAGGAUGAACGCUGGCGGCGUGCCUAACACAUGCAAGUCGAGCGAGAAACUUUUAAAUGAAACUUCGGUAGAUUUUAAAAGCGGAAAGCGGCGGACGGGUGAGUAACGCGUAGGCAACCUGCCCUUUGCAGAGGGAUAGCAUCUGGAAACGGAUAUUAAUACCUCAUAAUACUAAACUAUCACAUGAUAGAGUAGUCAAAGAUUUAUCGGCAAAGGAUGGGCCUGCGUCUGGAUUACG